CAUGAUCCUGUUCCACUUCCUGUAGCGGAUUCCGCGCGGCUCCAUCACCCCCUGCGGCGGACCCAUUACUCUCUGACAGGCUGUGUCAACGGCCACGAUUCUGCUCCACUCCCUGCGGCAGGUGCUGCGCGACUCCACUACUCCCUGACAACUAGCGGCAAUGGACGCCGCUCCACUACCUGCAACUGGCUCUACGUAGCAGGCCGUAACAAUAGCCACGUGUCUACUCCUCUAUCCUUCGCAAUCAAUUUCCCUGACCAUGGGCGGCCCACUACCAGACGGUUACAAACGUCGCCAUCAAUCCGUUGCCCCCUCCGCCUAUAAAAGGGGGACCCAGAUACGUUAUUCUCU
rnacentral:lncRNA from 1 species